GGGUUCACUUGCAUCUUCGGAUCGGAUAUUGGGGUUACACCCCCAACAUAUGCCCCUAGCCUGAACUGGAGUCAGACUCAGGGAGUAUGAAUCAAUACACAGCACCUGAGGAUACGUGUCAAAUCUCAGCUCUUGAAUCAGUGUUUCCAUUGUGUGGCCAGCCAUUUUUAUUGGAUAACUUCGGUCCAUUUUCUAUGGAUUGGAUAGUUGAUGUGACUCUCUUUGGUCUGUGAUUUGUCAUUCCCGCGAGUGGCUCGGGUCUGAGCCCUUUGGGCUUGAUGGCUUGACAU
rnacentral:lncRNA from 1 species